GCAGUUUAUCCAACUCCUUGCAGGCAUAUAAAAGUGACAUCACACUAACUGCAAAUGCAUCAGAAUACAUAUAACAUUUGUAUGUCAUGCAUCAAUCAAACAAGAUAGACCAACAAAAGCCAAAAAUAUAAGAGGUUUACCAACUCCUUCUUCCUUUGCAGCCUUGACAGCAUUUAUGGCAUUAGCAACUCUAUCCUUCUUUUCACGCACUUCAGCUUUAUUACUUCCACAGACCUUACAACAACAGCACCCGUUUCAUUUCAAAUCAGAAUACUUCCUUACCUAACAUCUCUAAUUCAACAAUCUUUCAUCUCAACGAGCCAAAUUUCAUUUAUAGCAUGAUGCAACAACAGAAUAAGAUGCAGUCAUGUCUUCUAAAUGCAAUUACUGUAACCAAACAAGCAAAUUGAUUCAUCUUUGGCACU
rnacentral:lncRNA from 1 species